GUGGGGAAUAUUGCACAAUGGGCGAAAGCCUGAUGCAGCAACGCCGCGUGAGGGACGACGGCCUUCGGGUUGUAAACCUCUUUUAGUAGGGAAGAAGCGAAAGUGACGGUACCUGCAGAAAAAGCACCGGCUAACUACGUGCCAGCAGCCGCGGUAAUACGUAGGGUGCAAGCGUUAUCCGGAAUUAUUGGGCGUAAAGAGCUCGUAGGCGGUGUGUCGCGUCUGCUGUGAAAACUGGAGGCUCAACCUCCAGCCUGCGGUGGGUACGGGCAGACUAGAGUGCGGUAGGGGAGAUUGGAAUUCCUGGUGUAGCGGUGGAAUGCGCAGAUAUCAGGAGGAACACCGAUGGCGAAGGCAGAUCUCUGGGCCGUAACUGACGCUGAGGAGCGAAAGCGUGGGGAGCGAACAGGAUUAGAAACCCCUGUAGUCC
rnacentral:rRNA from 1 species